UAGAAUUAUGUAGAGCAUAGGCAUUUGAACAAAGAUAGAGACCACAGGUAUAACUUUGCUCAUUUGAGAAUCCGGUUGACAAGGAAUUGACAUUUUAUUUAGUAGUUGAACAGACCAGAAUCACUGGACAAAGAUAUGGGAUUCGGUGAAUCAAAACAAGCAGCCCCAGCCGCAGCCCCAGCCCCAGCUCCAAGUAGAGUUUUUGACAAACCAUGGAGGGACACACCUUGGAAAGGAAGAGAUCAGUUGUUGGAGGACCUGAGGGCAUAUGUUCCACGUAAUCCUGACAUAGAACAUGUUAGGAUUCUGCUAGAUGGACCAGUCGGAGUGGGUAAAUCCAGCUUCAUCAACUCCAUCAACAAUGUCUUUCAGAAUAAAAUGACAAUGAAAGCCCAGGUUGAUUCUGCUAAUGCUGAUAGAAGCUACACC